CCCUUCUCCUUUGGGGAGUAGCCGCUCUCGCCUAGCAGAGAGGGGCGCGUCAACAGACUUGGCCUUUUGGGGCCGUGGCGCGUCCGGCCAUCGGGUUUGGCAAGACCAUGGGUUGCGGGUUCCGUCCGGCCGGGCGGGGACCUUUGCAGCCUCGUGCGUCUUGCCCGGCCUUGGAUUGUU
rnacentral:sRNA from 2 species